AUUGAACGCUGGCGGCAGGCCUAACACAUGCAAGUCGAACGAGUGGCGGACGGGUGAGUACUGUCUGGGAAACUGCCUGAUGGAGGGGGAUAACUACUGGAAACGGUAGCUAAUACCGCAUACCAUCGGAUGUGCCCAGAUGUGAUUAGCUAGUAGGUGGGGUAAAGGCUCACCUAGGCGACGAUCCCUAGCUGGUCUGAGAGGAUGACCAGCGACACGGGAACUGAGACACGUUCCAGACACGUAGGGGAGGGACGAGUGGGGAAGAGUGCACAAGGGGCGCAAGCCUGAUGCAGCCAGGCCGCAGGUAUGAAGAAGGCCUUCUGGUUGAAAAGUACUUUCAGCGGGGGGGCGUUACCCGCAGAAGAAGCACCGGCUAACUCCGUGCCAGCAGCCGCGGUAAUAC
rnacentral:rRNA from 1 species